rnacentral:rRNA from 1 species
GACGAACGCUGGCGGCGUGCUUAACACAUGCAAGUCGAGCGGUAAGGCCCUUUCGGGGGUACGACGAGCGGCGAACGGGUGAGUAACACGUGGGUGACCUGCCCUCAGCUCUGGGAUAAGCCUGGGAAACCGGGUCUAAUACUGGAUAUGACUCCAUGACGCAUGUUGUGGGGUGGAAAGCCUUGUGCGGCUGAGGAUGGGCCCGCGGCCUAUCAGCUUGUUGGUGGGGUGANGGCCUACCAAGGCGACGACGGGUAGCCGGCCUGAGAGGCGACCGGCCACACUGGGACUGAGACACGGCCCAGACUCCUACGGGGAGGCAGCAGGUGGGGAAUCUUGCGCAAGUGGGCGAAAGCCUGA